UCGGGAAUUUUGGGCAAUGGGCGAAAGCCUGACCCAGCAACGCCGCGUGAAGGAUGAAGUAUUUCGGUAUGUAAACUUCGUAAGAAUAGGAAGAAUAAAUGACGGUACUAUUUGUAAGGUCCGGCUAACUACGUGCCAGCAGCCGCGGUAAUACGUAGGGACCAAGCGUUGUUCGGAUUUACUGGGCGUAAAGGGCGCGUAGGCGGCGUGGUAAGUCACUUGUGAAAUCUCCGAGCUUAACUCGGAACGGUCAAGUGAUACUGCUGUGCUAGAGUACAGAAGGGGCAAUCGGAAUUCUUGGUGUAGCGGUGAAAUGCGUAGAUAUCAAGAGGAACACCUGAGGUGAAGACGGGUUGCUGGGCUGAUACUGACGCUGAGGCGCGAAAGCUAGGGUAGCAAACGGGAUUAGAUACCCCCGUAGUCCCUGAGCGGGCUGGCAAGGCGCAU
rnacentral:rRNA from 1 species